rnacentral:lncRNA from 1 species
AAGAUAUCUGGUUUUAUUUUCCUUCCAUUUGUUAAUCCUCGCUUUGGACAGCUCUAAUCAUGAUUUUAUUUAUGAGGUAAGACUCUUAUAAGUAUUAGCAAAUAUUUAAUGGCAUGAGCUUCACUCUAAACUGUCAUCUGUGUUUCAUCACAGGGCAUUCUUCCUCUCUCAGCCAUUGAGGUGCGUCUGAUCCCACAGCAGGACCAUAGUUCUCCAGAUAUGUUUGAGAUUAGCGGCCCUAUGGUGGACUCAAAGAUCUUCCUUUGUGCUACUGCUGCUGAAACAAAAACCUGGAUGGAGAAUAUCGAGGACAGGAGAUACAAAUCCCUAAGGCAACAGCUGAGCCCGUCCCAUAGCGCGCUCUCAUACCUGGUGCCAUGUAAUGAAAACUGGAAAAGGGAGGAGCUUAAAAGGUACUUACUGCGGUCUCCCAUCUUGCAAUGGGAGGGGAAGCCCAUUCAGCACAUGGGCCAUCCAAGAUACAUUUCACUGGUGCACAUCAGCAACAUAUACACACAGGACCGGCGUUUGCAGGAACCUCAGGAGCAUUUGCUUGUGCUCUUCCCAUGUGACCUCCUCAUUCUGUCUCUCGACUGUCAUCAUGUACAUGUGAAAUACGAGGGUCGUCUGCCACUUAAGAGCAUUAAAGCCAUGGAAAGAUCUGCACUACCUGCAGACUGGAGUUUGAACUCACGGGUGAACUGAUGGAGCCUUUGCUUGUCUCCUGUACAUACCCUGAGGACUAUCAAAGCUGGAUCUUCCAGUUACAACAGCCUAAAGUGGCAGAUUCAUUGCCACAUCAUACCCCUCCACCUCUUAUACCGAAGAAGCGCAGAAGCUGAGGAUGAUGUGACGGAUGGAAAUUAAAAUGGCUGUGAACUCCAUAUAUUGUGCCCAAUGAAAGCUGCUGAUUCCAAAUGAACAUUUUACUGUUGCAUUUUCUUCUUCUUCUUCAAAGACAUCAAAC